GUAUUAAUUCCAAAAGGCACUCUAGGCCUAUUAAUGACAUCCCACAAACAUACUAUAGAGUGUAUGAAUACAUAGACCGGAAAUGUAGAGACUGCUUAAGCUUUCGCUCCAGCAAUCCCCAGACCGAGUUUCCUCGAGAGAUAUCCAAGUCUACAAAAUAUGCACAGGUGAUUUUAAAAAUGGUUACCAGGUGUGCACUUGCCCCUAAAAGCCAGCAACAACCCAACCAAGUUUAUUCAAUAAUGAUCCUUCCGCAGGUUCACCUACGGAAA
rnacentral:misc_RNA from 1 species